AUGGUAUCCCCAAAGUGUGUGGUUUCGUGC
rnacentral:piRNA from 1 species